CCUAAAGUGGCCAUUUUGCAACAGGCUGCUGCCAGCUGCACCUUUCUCUCAUCCAGUAGGAUGGUGGUGAAGAGUUGCACUCUCAUCCCCGCUGAGUCUGCAAGAGGUGCCAGCCCCGACCCUCUGGAGACCGUUUUUCUCCAUGUGUGCGUUUUGGAUGAAAUCUUGUCAGAUCACCGACAGCCCCAAACGGCAACUGGAAAAAUCAUUACCGGAUUAGAUGACUGAUCUGCAGAGGCUGAUGGGUUCGGCAUGUGUGGUUCCGGAAAUCAUCCAUAAGAUUUCCCCUGAUCCAGGCCAGAGGAAGAAGGAACUAAUUUAACAUUCCAAGUACUCAUGUCCUCCUUUUAACCACUAGGCACUGGGUGUAUCUGCAGCACCUGCUACCCUUCAUAUAGCUUAUCUGGAAAGCCUAAUUCCGGUACUCAAGGGAUAAUGGUAUGCGAAUGUUCAUCACUUUGAUUUGAAAUGGUCAUUUAGGACCUGAGCCAAAGCCAGCUGAAGUCAAUGGAAAGACUCUCAUUGACUUCAAUGGGCUUUGGAUCAGGCCUUUAAAGGUGUGAAUGAAUAAAAAAAUUAAUUGGACUGUGUUUUUCUUUUUUCAUCAUGAAAUAGCUGUUACUCCAUAAUGAGGGCUGUUUGUUUUUGGUUUUUAUUUAAUUCUUCUCAGGAAUUUAUCUGU